UACGGAGGGUGCAAGCGUUAUCCGGAUUCACUGGGUUUAAAGGGUGCGUAGGCGGGCCCUUAAGUCAGUGGUGAAAGCUCCGAGCUUAACUCGGAAACUGCCAUUGAUACUAUAGGUCUUGAAUUCGGUCGAGGUUGGCGGAAUGUGUCGUGUAGCGGUGAAAUGCUUAGAUAUGACACAGAACACCGAUUGCGAAGGCAGCUAGCUAGACCGACAUUGACGCUGAGGCACGAAAGCGUGGGGAUCAAACAGG
rnacentral:rRNA from 1 species